GACGAACCGAGCGAACGUUGUUCGGAAUCACUGGGCUUAAAGGGCGCGUAGGCGGGCUGUCAAGUCUGGGGUGAAAUCCCGCGGCUCGACCGUGGAACUGCCUUAGAUACUGACGGCCUCGAGGGAGGUAGGGGCGAGCGGAACUGUGAGUGGAGCGGUGAAAUGCGUUGAUAUUCACAGGAACUCCGGUGGCGAAGGCGGCUCGCUGGACCUUUUCUGACACUGAGGCGCGAAAGCUAGGGGAGCAAACGGG
rnacentral:rRNA from 1 species